rnacentral:lncRNA from 12 species
CCAAGACUCAGCUACUCCUGGACCUGAAGUUUGGUUUUCAGAGGUGUUGCAGUUUAUACAAGCUCUAAAAAAGGAGAUAUCCAAAACUUGGCACCACCACCACAUGGAAGUGAUACUCUAGAAUAUAUUCAUAAGAAAAAAAUUAUUUAUGUCAGGAAGGUAAGACAGAUCCAAAGUGAACGUAACAUUUCAACUCCAACUCUCAUUUAGUCUGACCCUCUGGGACCUAAUCAAUUUUAUCAUCUCUGUUUCUUCAUCAGACACGCAUGAAUUGAAGCAUAUUUCCUAGACAUCUAGGAUAAUGCUAACUAUGUGCCUACCUUGGGAGAAUUGAGAAGAAGGCCACACAUAUCCUUUUCUUUAUGGUUUAAUUCUCUUAGAUGAAUCUGGGUGAGAAAUGUGUAAUUCUGAUUACAACAUGUUUUAGGGUUGAACAACAGCACUUCCAUCAUCAGAGGACAAGAGAUUAGAAUCUUAGGUCACAGCCUGGCUCUACCAAAUCAGAAUCUGGAUUUUAAUAAUAUCACCAGGGAAAUAUAUAUAUAAAACUUUGAGAAGCACCAAUGUUUUCAUUAAAACAUUAAUUUUUUUCAUUAAUGUUUUUAAAUUAAAACUUCACCCCAUAAUUUAGAUUAUUUGGGGCAAAAU